AAAGAAUGUUGGAAGCUGUGGUUUCAUGAGC
rnacentral:piRNA from 1 species